UACGAAGGGGGCUAGCGUUGUUCGGAAUUACUGGGCGUAAAGCGCGCGCAGGCGGCUAUCCAAGUCAGUGGUGAAAGCCCGGAGCUCAACUCCGGAACUGCCAUUGAAACUGUUUAGCUUGAGGACGAGAGAGGUGAGUGGAAUUCCCAGUGUAGAGGUGAAAUUCGUAGAUAUUCGGAAGAACACCAGUGGCGAAGGCGGCUCACUGGACCGGCAUUGACGCUGAGGUGCGAAAGCGUGGGGAGCAAACAGG
rnacentral:rRNA from 1 species